CGCGUAGGCGGGUUCACAAGUCCGGGGUGAAAGCCCCCAGCUCAACUGGGGAAGCGCCUUGGAUACUGUGGGUCUCGAGGGGGUAGGGGCGCGCGGAACUUCCGGUGGAGCGGUGAAAUGCGUAGAUAUCGGAAGGAACACCGGUGGCGAAAGCGGCGCGCUGGACCCCUUCUGACGCUGAGGCGCGAAAGCCAGGGGAGCAAACG
rnacentral:rRNA from 1 species